UACGUAGGGCGCAAGCGUUGUCCGGAAUUAUUGGGCGUAAAGAGCUCGUAGGCGGCCAGUUGCGUCCGCUGUGAAAUCCCGGGGCUUAACCCCGGGCCUGCAUUCGAUACGGGCAGACUAGAGUUCGGUAGGGGAGUCUGGAAUUCCUGGUGUAGCGGUGAAAUGCGCAGAUAUCAGGAGGAACACCGAUGGCGAAGGCAGGUCUCUGGGCCGAUACUGACGCUGAGGAGCGAAAGCGUGGGGAGCGAACAGG
rnacentral:rRNA from 1 species